GGGGGAAGAACCAGAACAAAAAACCGGGAACAAAGACUCAAGCAAAACCCAGAAAAAGGCCUCAGCAACAGAGGAGGAGGGGCCGAAAAUCAGGGGAGGACAGGGAUUAAAGAGAAGACCGAGAGAAAAACAGGAGCCAAACACAAAGACUAAAACGAAAAAAAACCAGAGGAAAAACAGAGAGCACGAACGAAACAGAGAGGGGACUAAAAACAGAGAAACAGGGAGAGAGCAAAAGGACAGCAUUCCCAGCUUUGCCUUUGCUCUCAAAACGCAAGUGAAGUGCAGAGAAACUGCAAGCGUUGGUCAGCCGCUCGUCUCCAGCUUCACCACACCAAGUCAGUAGCAGCCAAAGAAGCAAAGCCAGAAGAACAGAAGGGAAGUUUGAAACGGAUCCUUUGCUAAGUGUCGCCCAAUCACUCAGGAGGAGCAUCACUGUCGUCUUCAUCGUCUCUGGCAAACCAGAGAAAUUAAAAGGAAGACGGAGAGAAACUCACCAUGAGGUAUUGGACUAAUAGCUCUUGCAACAACGCACCUACACAGUUUUCAUGUGCAGUGAUUAUUUUGUUCUGCGAAUCACAGAAGUCAGCUUCCUGCUGUUUGAUCUCAAGCUGCUUUCGUUGCAGCAUCUGAAGAAUGGAACCAUUUUCCUCCUCGUUCUCCUCAAUUUCCUCACCAAUAGCACGUAAGGAAUGCUGAAUCAUCUUCGUUUUCUGUCAAAUCAAAGACAGUAUCAUGAAAACAAGGAGAGGGAAAAAAAAGGAGAAAAAAUGAGGUGCUUUUGCUCCUCAAUCAAGAGCUUUGAUUAAUAUGAACAUUUGUUGUUUACCUUUGCAUA